GACAGCCCCGUACACAAAAAUGCACAUGCUGUGAGCUCGAUGAGUAGGGCGGGACACGUGGUAUCCUGUCUGAAUAUGGGGGGACCAUCCUCCAAGGCUAAAUACUCCUGACUGACCGAUAGUGAACCAGUACCGUGAGGGAAAGGCGAAAAGAACCCCGGCGAGGGGAGUGAAAAAGAACCUGAAACCGUGUACGUACAAGCAGUGGGAGCCGCUUAGGCGGUGACUGCGUACCUUUUGUAUAAUGGGUCAGCGACUUAUAUUCUGUAGCAAGGUUAACCGAAUAGGGGAGCCGAAGGGAAACCGAGUCUUAACUGGGCGUUAAGUUGCAGGGUAUAGACCCGAAACCCGGUGAUCUAGCCAUGGGCAGGUUGAAGGUUGGGUAACACUAACUGGAGGACCGAACCGACUAAUGUUGAAAAAUUAGCGGAUGACUUGUGGCUGGGGGUGAAAGGCCAAUCAAACCGGGAGAUAGCUGGUUCUCCCCGAAAGCUAUUUAGGUAGCGCCUCGUGAACUCAUCUCCGGGGGUAGAGCACUGUUUCGGCAAGGGGGUCAUCCCGACUUACCAACCCGAUGCAAACUGCGAAUACCGGAGAAUGUUAUCACGGGAGACACACGGCGGGUGCUAACGUCCGUCGUGAAGAGGGAAACAACCCAGACCGCCAGCUAAGGUCCCAAAGUCAUGGUUAAGUGGGAAACGAUGUGGGAAGGCCCAGACAGCCAGGAUGUUGGCUUAGAAGCAGCCAUCAUUUAAAGAAAGCGUAAUAGCUCACUGGUCGAGUCGGCCUGCGCGGAAGAUGUAACGGGGCUAAACCAUGCACCGAAGCUGCGGCAGCGACGCUUAUGCGUUGUUGGGUAGGGGAGCGUUCUGUAAGCCUGUGAAGGUGUGCUGUGAGGCAUGCUGGAGGUAUCAGAAGUGCGAAUGCUGACAUAAGUAACGAUAAAGCGGGUGAAAAGCCCGCUCGCCGGAAGACCAAGGGUUCCUGUCCAACGUUAAUCGGGGCAGGGUGAGUCGACCCCUAAGGCGAGGCCGAAAGGCGUAGUCGAUGGGAAACAGGUUAAUAUUCCUGUACUUGGUGUUACUGCGAAGGGGGGACGGAGAAGGCUAUGUUGGCCGGGCGACGGUUGUCCCGGUUUAAGCGUGUAGGCUGGUUUUCCAGGCAAAUCCGGAAAAUCAAGGCUGAGGCGUGAUGACGAGGCACUACGGUGCUGAAGCAACAAAUGCCCUGCUUCCAGGAAAAGUCUCUAAGCAUCAGGUAACAUCAAAUCGUACCCCAAACCGACACAGGUGGUCAGGUAGAGAAUACCAAGGCGCUUGAGAGAACUCGGGUGAAGGAACUAGGCAAAAUGGUGCCGUAACUUCGGGAGAAGGCACGCUGAUAUGUAGGUGAAGCGACUUGCUCGUGGAGCUGAAAUCAGUCGAAGAUACCAGCUGGCUGCAACUGUUUAUUAAAAACACAGCACUGUGCAAACACGAAAGUGGACGUAUACGGUGUGACGCCUGCCCGGUGCCGGAAGGUUAAUUGAUGGGGUCAGCGCAAGCGAAGCUCUUGAUCGAAGCCCCGGUAAACGGCGGCCGUAACUAUAACGGUCCUAAGGUAGCGAAAUUCCUUGUCGGGUAAGUUCCGACCUGCACGAAUGGCGUAAUGAUGGCCAGGCUGUCUCCACCCGAGACUCAGUGAAAUUGAACUCGCUGUGAAGAUGCAGUGUA
rnacentral:rRNA from 1 species